CAGGAAAGCACAUCCCCCACCUGACCCCAGCCACGGCCUCUUCGUCCCCCUCAGGCCCGCUCCCACUCACAGUCAUGAGGAAUACCAGCACGGCCCUGGGCUCUGCCGCGAGCACCAGCUCUGUUCCCUGGGUGCCUGGUCAAGCGGCUGCCUGGUAAUCAUUCUUUGGCCUUGCGGUUUUGAAGCCCUCCACCGUCUCUGGGCCUCCCCUCCUCCCUCCCCUCUUUACUCAGCCCCCGCCCCCCAGGCCUGAGUCUUGGGUCUCUUUUUCUGUCAAACUCCUCGGUAAAACCACAGAUGAAUGUAAACAUCCCCUCCCCGUGCGGCCCAGGGAAAGGAGGGGCAAGGGGCUCUAGGACUCGGGAAAGGCUGCUCCACCUCCUUCACGGGGGCGUAACAGAGAAACGCGGAGACCGUGUGGAAACUCUGGUCACGCCGACUACCCCUCACAGAUGACAAUGAGAAAUUCUGGACGCAAAUAUAUAUGUUUCGAAAAACAAUGUGAAGGCCCUGGAGCACGAGUAAAAGCAGGCAGAAGCUGGAAAGGAGCCGACCCCUGAAAACAGAAACUGCAGCCAGUGAGACGCAUGUUGGUGGCAACGGACUGACAGACGCUCACAAAGGAAGCUGCGGGCUUGGCUACUCAGCACAUGGAAAAGUGUGCAGCAUCAUUAGUCACCAGGGGAAUGCAAAUUAAAACCACAGGGAGACCCCACUGCACACCCAUUCUGAAAUUCAAAGACUGACCACACGGACCAUCAGUGGGGUGUGGAGAGGGGGAACUCGUAUGCCGCCGGUGGGAAUUCAGAAAUGGCACAACCAUUGCAAAACGGAUCGCCAGUUUCUUAGGAAGGUAAAUAUACACCUGACAUUUGACCCAACAAUUCCACUCCUACGUAUUAUCCAAGAGAAACGGAAUGUGUCCACAAAGGGACCUACCUCAAAUGUUGGUAGUAGCUUUAUCCGUGUUACCAAGAAACUGGAAACAACCGGCACGUCCAUCAAGUGGAGAAUGGACACACUAAGUGCAGAAUACGACACAUGGGCUACUGGGCCACGGAAAGGGAAGGAGCGGUGAAACAGCCACGUGGAUGCCCUCUCCUGCUGGCGCCUCCUAAACUGAUGCUGCUGGCCACGAGCUCCCCUUUGAGUCGAGGCACACAGGCGGCACCUCCGCACAUCUCCUGAGAACCUUCCGGGAGCACAAAGGAAAUCCGGACUUCCCCCACGAACCGGUUCCUGACCAGCUGUUCCCACUGGCUAGUGCAAAUUUCUCCAUUUUUACUCAUUCAUUCAUGAAACUUUUAUUAAGAAGA
rnacentral:lncRNA from 1 species